rnacentral:rRNA from 1 species
UACGUAGGGGGCGAGCGUUGUCCGGAUUCAUUGGGCGUAAAGAGCUCGUAGGCGGCUCAGUAAGUCAGGUGUGAAAACUCCAGGCUCAACCUGGAGACGCCACCUGAUACUGCUGUGGCUAGAGUCCGGUAGGGGAGCAUGGAAUUCCUGGUGUAGCGGUGAAAUGCGCAGAUAUCAGGAGGAACACCAGUGGCGAAGGCGGUGCUCUGGGCCGGAACUGACGCUGAGGAGCGAAAGCGUGGGGAGCAAACAGG